GACGAACGCUGGCGGCGUGCUUAACACAUGCAAGUCGAACGGAAAGGCCCUGCUUUUGUUGGUUGCUCGAGUGGCGAACGGGUGAGUAACACGUGAGUAACCUGCCCUUGACUUUGGGAUAACUUCAGGAAACUGGGGCUAAUAUCGGAUAUGAUCUCCUGCUGCAUGGUGGGGGUUGGAAAGUUUCGGCUGUUGGGGAUGGACUCGCGGCUUAUCAGCUUGUUGGGGGGGUAGUGGCUUACCAAGGCUUUGACGGGUAGCCGGCCCGAGAGGGUGACCGGCCACAUUGGGACUGCGAUACGGACCAGACUCGUACGGGAGGCAGCAGUGGGGAAUAUUGCACAAUGGGCGGAAGCCUGAUGCAGCAACGCCGCGUGCGGGAUGACGGCCUUCGGGUUGUAAACCGAUUUCGACUGUGACGAAGCGUGAGUGACGGUAAUGGGUAAAGAAGCACCGGCUAACUACGUG
rnacentral:rRNA from 1 species